AUGGUGACCUUUGCCUGCCGGGAAAGGCAGUGUUGCCUCCCCCCUGCUCUUUUUCUGUUUUUCCUGAGGUCCUUCAUAUUCCUCUUCUCCUGGGGAAAGUGUCUUCAAGCACUGAAUCUUUUGACUGCCACGGAUUUCAAGCAGCCAAAGGGAUUGGGUUUUGUUGGUUAUCACGGGAGGUGGUGUCAGGUGAGCGGUCUGGUGGCGGGAUGUCUGUGGGGUAUACUUUGUCAAAACCUCUGGGCCCCUCUGGCAGGCAUCCCUGUAUGUGGCUUGUACUCGGACAAAGGCCUUGUCUCGCAGGUUUUCAAGUGUGCUUGGCUUUUCUUCAGUUUUCUGUGGGAGAUCCCAGUGGCCCACAGGCUCACACCUCAACCUCUCUGUCCGUCUCAGCAUCGUCCCAUACGGUGUCAAAGACACACGCUCACUCCAUCUGCUCUUAGGGGACGUCAGUGCCACGUGUGGUCACUUUGGCUCUAUCUCGGACUUGCCUCUGUCUCUUGUUGCAUGUGUUGUGGAAAGCUGUGUCGGGAUUUUGGAUUCCCCGGGCCUAUGAGACAAAGGCAAACUACUGCUCCAUUCAGGAAGGAAGGAGGCAGUGAGCUCAUGGGCCAGUUUAUUUUCAGCAGACAGCAGGCCUUGCGGCUCUUGGGAUCUUUCUGUGCCCCAGCGAGGCCCUUCCCUCCUCCCUACAUUGUAACCCCAUUCCUGAUCACCCACUCAGAUCCGUUAUUGGAUUCGAAGAGGUGUCCAGAGAGACAAGCGGGAACCCCGAAGUUCCUCCUCCACCGGGAACCAAAGCAGAAGACCAAUCAAGAAGGUCCUGACGAUAGGACCCCUAUGGGUCUGACCCUGGCUCUCGCGCAGGCCCCUCUCCUAGUCCUCUUCCCACCCGUCGCCUUGGACUGCUCUGCUGCUGCCACCGCUGCCCCAGUCCCUGUAGCGUCGCGUCUCUGCCAUUUUUUAAGGGGUCCCCAGUCUGACUCUCCGGAGCAAAGGGGGAGUCGGCCUCGCCAGUGCUCAUGCGCGAGGCCUGAGCCGCCGUUUUGGUCACAGCGAUUGGCACCAUUUUCUGGGGAUGGGUCCCUGAGACUUGGCGAAGUAGGAGCCCUGUGUGAUAGUGCGUCAGAGUCGGGGCUGAGAGCAGUCCUGGCCAGGGCGUUAACAGGAUGGUCUCCACAGGCCGGGAUUCACGGAUAA
rnacentral:lncRNA from 1 species